rnacentral:rRNA from 1 species
AUUGAACGCUAGCGGCAUGCUUUACACAUGCAAGUCGAACGGUGACAGGCCGCAAGGUGCUGACGAGUGGCGAACGGGUGAGUAAUGCAUAGGAACGUGCCCAGGCGUGGGGGAUAACGCAGCGAAAGCGGUGCUAAUACCGCAUACGAACUAUGGAAGAAAUCGGGGGACCGUAAGGACUCGGGCGGUGGGGGCGGCAGAUGUCAGAUUAGGAAGUCGGUGGGGUAAAGGCUCACUAAGCCAACGAUCUGUAGCUGGUCUGAGAGGACGACCAGACACACUGGGACUGAGACACGGCCCAGACUCCUACGGGAGGCAGCAGUGGGGAAUUUUGGACAAUGGGCGCAAGCCUGAUCCAGCAAUGCCGCGUGCAGGAAGAAGGCCUUCGGGUUGUAAACUGCUUUUGUACGGAACGAAACGGUCUGGGUUAAUACCUCGGGCUAAUGACGGUACCGUAAGAAUAAGCACCGGCUAACUACGUGCCAGCAGCCGCAGUAA